rnacentral:lncRNA from 1 species
GAUCAUCUGAGGUCGGGAGUUUAGACCAGCCUGGCCAACAUUGUGAAACCCCAUCUCUACUAAAAAUACAAAAAUUAGCUGGGUGUGGUGGCGCACACUUGUAAUCCCAGCUACUUGGGAGGCUGAGGCAGUAGAAUCACUUGAACCUGGGAGGCGNNNNNNNNNNNNNNNNNNNNNNNNNNNNNNNNNNNNNNNNUGCACUCCAGCCUGGGCAACAGAGGGAGACUCCAUCUCAAAAAGAGAAAAUAAUUAUAAAAGUUGCUUUAAAAUCCUUGCUGCUAAUUCCCAAGAUUAGAAAUUCCAACAUCUGAGUCAUAACUUUUUCUCUUUGGGAGUGAGUUUUGAGUAUGAUUCCAUUUUCUGUUUCUUCAUAUGCCUAGUACUUGUUUAUUGUAGCUGGACAUUGUCAAGACUAUGGAUUUUGUUAUGUUCCUCUGAAGAGUGUUAAUUUUGUUCUAACAGGCAAUUAACCUGGUUGGACUGAAACUCCAAUCUUUGUGAAAGGCAGUAGCUGGAAUUCCUACUCUGUUCUUGCUCCCAGCUGCUGAUUUUACUGGGACUCCUGGAGACUCCUGCGCAUAUGUGCAGUUGGACAACCAAGGAUUUGGACAGAGUUUAUAUACAGAUUUUGGGACUUGUUUGCUCUAUAGAAUUUCUUUCUGUGAGUUCCCUCUUAAUUUUCCAGCCACACUUCUCGCCUAGAACUCUGUACUCGGCACCUCAAACCAGUAAGACCGUAGCUUUCUAUGCAUUUCCACCUCCCACACAAAUUACAGAGUGCCCUCACACAAAUAACCACAAAAAUAUAAGUCUAGUACAGGGCAGCUCCCACCUUUCAAGAGUUGAUUUUCCUCACAUUUCUAAUUGCUGUUAGGUGUUCUUUAGUGCCUUCAAAUAUUUGGGUUUGGUUGUUGUUUAUUUUAUUCAGGUUUUUGGUUUUUUGUUUUGGUUUUGUUUUGAGAUGGAGUUUUGCUCUUGUCGCCCAGGCUAGAGUGCAAUGGCACGAUCUGAGCUCACUGCAACCUCUGCCUCCCAGGUUCGAGUGAUCCUCCUGCCUCAGCCUCCUGAGUAGCUGGGAAUACAGGCAUGCACCACCACGCCUGGGUAAUUUUUGUAUUUUUAAUAGAGACAGGGGUUUCACCAUGUUGACCAGGCUGGUCAUGAAUUCCUGACCUCAGGUGAUCCACCUGCCUCGGUCUCUUAAAGUGCUGGGAUUACAGGUGUGAGCCACUGUGCCCAGCCAGGUUUUUUGUUGUUGUUGUUAUUGUUUUGUUUUUAAGAGACAGGAUCUUGCUUUGUUGCCCAGGCUGGAGCACAGUGGUAUGAUCAUAGCAAACUGCAGCCUUGAACUCCUGAGCUCCAGCAAUCCUCCUGCCUCAGCCUCCCAAGUAGCUGGGACUACCAGCGCAUAUCACCAUGCCUAGUUAAUUUUUUGAAAACUAUUUUGAUAGAGAUGGAGUCUUGCUGUGUUGCCCAGGCUGGUCUUGAACUCAUGGCCUCAAGCGAUCCUCUCACCUAAGUCUCCAAAGGUGCUAAGAUUACAGGCAUGAGCCACUGUACCUGGCCUUGUUUCAGGUUUUUUUUUGUUUUUGUUUUUGUUUUUGNNNNNNNNNNNNNNNNNNNNNNNNNNNNNNNNNNNNNNNNNNNNNNNNNNNNNNNNNNNNNNNNNNNNACUUCCUGGGUUCAAGUGAUUCUCCUGCCUCAGCCACCCGAGCAGCUGGGAUUACAGGUGUGCACCACAAGCCUGGCUAAUUUUUUGUGUAUUUUUAGUAGAGAUGAGGUUUCGUCAUGUUGGCCAGGCUGGUCUCAAACUCCUGACCUCAAAUGAUCUGUCUUCCUCAGCCUCCAAAAGUGCUGGAAUUAAGGGAAACCAUUUGUUUAAGUUCACAUAGCUAGUUUGUGGAAGAGCCAAAAUCUAAAACCAGUCAGAUUACAUAAUCCUAUGCUUGCUCCAGUUCACCACUAUUCCUAAACACCUCAAGGUGGUUUGGAUUCCAGCCUAGAGCCCUCUGGAAAGUAUUUGGGGCUGGAAGGAGGAAAGAGCCCUCAAAACUCCUAUUCAGGCUAGGGCAGUAGUUGCCCAGGCUGGAGUGCAGUGGAACAAUCUUGGCUCACUGCAACCUCUGCCUGCCGGGAUCAAGCAAUUCUCCUGCCUCAGACUUCUGAGUAGCUGGGAUUACAGGCGUACACCACCAAGCCCAGCUAAUUUUUGCAUUUUAAUAAAAUCACAAAGCCAGACUUAGAUAGUUGAAAGUGCCCACCUCUGUUCCUGAGAGUUGGGCCUGAGACAGAGGAUUCUAAGUGGAAACCACGCUCAACUAAGAGGACCCAAGAAAGGCAAGUUCUUUUUAAAAAUUUUUUUUUCAUUUUUUGUCUCUCUCUGUCACCCAGGCUGGAGUGCAAUGGUGCAAUCAUGGCUCACUGCAGCUUUAUCCUCCUGGGCUCAAGCCAUCUUCCCACCUCAGCCUCCCAAGUAGCUGGGACUACAGGCACAUGCCACCAUGCCUGGCUAAUUUUUAUAUUUGUUGUAGACAAGUUUUCACCAUGUUGCCCAGGCUAAGUCAAACUUUUCUUUUUUUUCUAUUUUUUAUUUUUUUUAAUUAUUAUUUUUUGAGAUGCAGUCUCGCUCUGUCGCCCAGGCUGAAGUGCCAUCUCUGCUCACUGCAAACUCCACUUCCUGGGUUCCUCAGCCUCCCGAGUAGCUGGGACUACAGGUGCCUGCCACCACGCCCAGCUAAUUUUUUGUAUUUUAAUAGAGACGGGGUUUCACCGUGUUAGCCAGGAUGGUUUCGAUCUCCUGACCUCGUGAUCCACCCGCCCGCCUCGGCCUCCCAAAGUGCUGGGAUUACAGGCAUGAGCCACUGCGCCUGGCUCAAAUUAGAUUUCUAUAUCCAGUAACAGUAUCCUUCAAAAAUGAAGACAAAACAGAGACAUUGUCAAAUAAACAAAAACUGAGUUU